rnacentral:rRNA from 1 species
AUUCAGAACAGGACGUCACUUGAAACUGGUGGGCUUGAGUGCAGGAGAGGGAAGUGGAAUUCCUAGUGUAGCGGUGAAAUGCGUAGAUAUUAGGAGGAACACCAGUGGCGAAGGCGGCUUCCUGGACUGUAACUGACGCUGAGGCACGAAAGCGUGGGGAGCAAACAGGAUUAGAUACCCCCGUAGU